rnacentral:rRNA from 1 species
GACGAACGCUGGCGGCGUGCCUAAUACAUGCAGGUAGAACGCUGAAGGAGGAGCUUGCUUCUCUGGAUGAGUUGCGAACGGGUGAGUAACGCGUAGGUAACCUGCCUGGUAGCGGGGGAUAACUAUUGGAAACGAUAGCUAAUACCGCAUAAUAUUGACUAUUGCAUGAUAGUCAGUUGAAAGGUGCAACUGCACCACUACCAGAUGGACCUGCGUUGUAUUAGCUAGUUGGUGGGGUAACGGCUCACCAAGGCGACGAUACAUAGCCGACCUGAGAGGGGAAGCGGCCAAGCUGGGACGAGGAGACGGCCCAGACUACUGCGGGAGACAGAAGGAGGGGAUCUUCAGGAGUGGACGGAAGUGUGACCGAGGAACGACGCGAGAGAGAAGGAGGUAGUCAGGUCGUAUAACUCUGUUAUGAGAGAAGAACGGAAAGGAGCGUGAAAAGCUCAGACAGUGACGGUAGCUUACCAGAAAGAGACGGCUAACUACGUG